rnacentral:rRNA from 1 species
UACGAAGGGGGCUAGCGUUGUUCGGAAUUACUGGGCGUAAAGGGCGCGUAGGCGGCCAUUCAAGUUAGGUGUGAAAGCCCUGGGCUCAACCUAGGAAUUGCACUUGAUACUGUUUGGCUUGAGUUCGGGAGAGGUGAGUGGAAUUCCCAGUGUAGAGGUGAAAAUUCGUAGAUAUUGGGAAGAACACCAGUGGCGGAAGGCGGCUCACUGGACCGACACUGACGCUGAGGCGGCGAAAGCGU